GACAGAGGGGGCAAGCGUUGCUCGGAAUUACUGGGCAUAAAGGGCGCGUAGGCGGCUUAUCAAGUCAGGGGUGAAAUCCGGCAGCUCAACUGUCGAAGUGCCUUUGAUACUGACGAGCUCGAGGGAGAUAGGGGUGUGUGGAACUUCCGGUGGAGCGGUGAAAUGCGUUGAUAUCGGAAGGAACGCCGGUGGCGAAAGCGACACACUGGAUCUCUUCUGACGCUGAGGCGCGAAAGCCAGGGGAGCAAACGGG
rnacentral:rRNA from 1 species